GGACAGGUGCCAGAGUGGUCGAAUGGGCACGAUUGGAAAUCGUGUGUACUUGAAAGAGUACCGAGGGUUCGAAUCCCUCCCUGUCCGCCA
rnacentral:tRNA from 1 species